AUUAUUUAAGAGGUUUUAAAAAAUGAAUAAACUAUAAUAACUAGAAAAAUAGCUGUUCCUAGCAAAACAGCCAUGAGAAUGCAUAUUUGCAGAAUGACUGCUGCAGAAUUGCAAGACAAAGUAGAGACAAGCAUAAGAAGUAGAAAAAAGGAGAAGAAAUAGAAAUAGUUGAAACAGUUGAACAG